rnacentral:rRNA from 1 species
UACAUGGGGUGCAAACGUUGCUCGGAAUUAUUGGGCGUAAAGCGCGCGUAGGCGGUUACUCAAGUCGGAUGUGAAAGCCCUCGGCUUAACUGAGGAAGUGCACCCGAAACUGAGUAGCUAGAGUACUAAAGAGGGUCGCGGAAUUCCCGGUGUAGAGGUGAAAUUCGUAGAUAUCGGGAGGAACACCGGUGGCGAAGGCGGCGACCUGGGUAGAUACUAACGCUGAGGCGCGAAAGCGUGGGGAGCAAACAGG